AGUCCUCAUCAGGCACCAAUCUGCUGGCACCUUGAUCUCGGACUUCCCAGCCUCCAGAACUGUGAGCAAUAAAUUUGUUGUUUUUAAGCCGCCCAGUCUGUGAUGUUUUGUUUUAGCAUCCCAGACUAAGUAAGGGUUUAAAAGAGGUGAUUAAGUUAAAAUGAGGUCAUCAGGGUGCACCCCAGUCCGACAUAGCUGAUGUCCUUAUAAGAAGAGGAAAUUAGGACACAGACAUAUGCCAUGUGAAGACGCAGGGAGAAUGUGACAUCUGCAAGCCAAGGAGAGAGGCUGCAGGAGAAACCAGCUCUGCUGACACUUUGAUCUCAAGCUCUGGCCACCAGAACUGUGAGCAAAUAAGUGUCUGUUGUUUAGGGCACCCUGUCCAUGGCACCUUGCUCCGAUAGCCCCAGGAAACGAAUCCACAGCACAGGUUUGUGCUCAGAAGCCCCUACACCAGCUGCUGCGUGAUGGAGAACAGGAGUCAAAG
rnacentral:lncRNA from 1 species